GUUGCUUGGGGUUAUUACUA
rnacentral:miRNA from 1 species